rnacentral:rRNA from 1 species
UACGGAGGGUGCGAGCGUUGUCCGGAAUCAUUGGGCGUAAAGGGCGCGUAGGUGGCCCGGUCAGUUCGUGGUGAAAGCGCGGGGCUCAACCCUGCGUCGGCCAUGAAUACUGCCGCGGCUGGAGCACUGUAGAGGCAGGCGGAAUUCCGGGUGUAGCGGUGGAAUGCGUAGAGAUCCGGAAGAACACCGGUGGCGAAGGCGGCCUGCUGGGCAGUGCUGGACACUUGAGGCGCGACAGCGUGGGGAGCAAACAGGGAUUAGAAACCCGGGUGAGUACCAGGAACCGUAACCGCUAGAUCCAGC